CAAACUACCCUAUGGAUCGGAAUAACCUCGGGAAACUGAGGCUAAUACCGAAUACCGCUCUCAUCCUGGAACUGGAGAGAGCACGAAACGCCCCGGCGCCAUAGGAUGUGGCUGCGGCCGAUUAGGUAGACGGUGGGGUAACGGCCCACCGUGCCGAUAAUCGGUACGGGUUGUGAGAGCAAGAGCCCGGAGACGGUAUCUGAGACAAGAUACCGGGCCCUACGGGGCGCAGCAGGCGCGAAACCUUUACACUGCACGAACGUGCGAUAAGGGGACUCCAAGUGCGAGGGCAUACAGUCCUCGCUUUUCCCUACCGUAAGGUGGUAGGUGAAUAAGAGCUGGGCAAGACCGGUGCCAGCCGCCGCGGUAAUACCGGCAGCUCGAGUGAUGGCCAAUAUUAUUGGGCCUAAAGCGUCCGUAGCUGGCCGAACAGGUCCGUCGGGAAAUCCGCUCGCUCAACGAGCGGACGUCCGGCGGAAACCAGUCGGCUUGGGACCGGAAGACCCGAGGGGUACGGCCGGGGUAGGAGUGAAAUCCUGUAAUCCUGGCCGGACCACCGGUGGCGAAAGCGCCUCGGGAAGACGGAUCCGACAGUGAGGGACGAAAGCUAGGGUCACGAACCGGAUUAGAUACCCGGGUAGUCCUAGCUGUAAACGAUGCUCGCUAGG
rnacentral:rRNA from 1 species